rnacentral:rRNA from 1 species
UGGAUCGUCUGCGGAGAGACGGGGGUGUAACGGAGGGUAGAGGCGAGUGUCGGAAGUACAGGGCGUAAGGCGACCGCAGGCGGUCUGGCAGGUCGGAUGUGAAAUCCCCGGGCUCAACCUGGGAACGGCAUUCGAAACUGGCAGGCUAGAGUCUUGUAGAGGGAGGUAGAAUUCCAGGUGUAGCGGUGAAAUGCGUAGAGAUCUGGAGGAAUACCGGUGGCGAAGGCGGCCCCCUGGACAAAGACUGACGCUCAGGUGCGAAAGCGUGGGGAGCAAACAGGAUUAGAUACCCUAGUAGUC